rnacentral:lncRNA from 1 species
GGUCAUGUUCUGGGUCUUUCGGGGCGCUUUGGGUCUGGGGGGCUUUUGCCACCCCUUUUCCCAGGUCCCCCCUAUCGGCUGUUGUGGCGCCCUUCAGUUCUGCUUUUGACCCUCUUGGGUGGGUCCAGGUUUGGCGGCUGUCCCGCGGCCGCCCUGUUUUUCUCCCUUUUGCCCCGGGGGGAGCCCCUGCCUGCCUCCCGCCGUUUUGUGCCUCAAGCCCAUCUUGGGGAGCCAAGAAGAGCCGCUGCCUCGGGGGGCAGCUCCUGGCCGGGCGUUUUUUCUCGCACCCUCAGGAUCGCCUCCACGCGGGGGGGGGGGGGGGGUCCUGGGGCCGGUCUGCUCUGCUGGUUUGGACAAGCAGUUCCUCCUGGGGGGCUGCGCCGGGGAGCCCCCCAGGAACCCUCCGGGGGCUCUCCCGGGCUGGCCGUGUGCUGUGCGGGGCUUCACGAGGAGGCGAGCGCCGGUGCCUACGGGAGGAGGCGGAGAGAUCCACUGAGGAGGCCUCCGGUGGGGCUCUAGGCUGGGCUCUCCCGAGAAGGCCCAGGCGGACGAGCUCCCCUUUCUGCCCAAAGGAGCCUCGGGGUCUCUCGGAGUCCGGGGAGAAGACAUCCCUCUAUCCAGGGCGGCGGGCCGGUGCCCCGCUUUCCGCUUUGUCCCAUAAUGGCCCCCAGGGAUGCCGCUCUUCCAGGAGCAGCCGGGUACGAGGAGAAAACCCAGAUUUAGAGACAAAGGAUCCAAAUUCAAAUCCCGCCUGCGUCCCUUCCCAUAUCAUUUUGAACAUGUUGCUGGGCCUCGGCGUCCCCUUCUGUAAAAAUAAGGCACUGAAGGAGAGGAGCUCUGAAGCAACUUGUGAGCAAAGUGUAGCAUCCUGCAAUGCUGUAGGACCCAUUUAUUCAGGUGAGAAAUAUUUGGUGAAAAGGAGGAGGGGGCAGAGCCAGGCCUGGAGAUGGAGGGUCCUGAGUUCAAAUCUGGCCACAGAUAUUGCCUUGCUGGGUGACCCUGGGCAAGUCCCUUAACCCCCAUUGCCAGCCCUUCCUGCUGAUCUGCCGUGANNNNNNNNNNNNNNNNNNNNNNN